rnacentral:rRNA from 1 species
UGCUUGUCUCAAAGCUUAAGCCAUGCAAGUCUCAGUACGAGCUGACUUAAAGUGAAACCGCAAAAGGCUCAGUAAACCGGUCAUAGUUUACCGGAUAUAUGCCACUCACGUGGAUAACUGUGGUAAUUCUAGAGCUAAUACAUGCAAAAAAGUCCCGACCAGCGAUGGAGAGGACGCUUUUAUUGGAUCAAAACCUCUCGCCCGGCUUGUCCGGGCGUCGGCUUGAUGACUCUAGAUAACACCACAGAUCGCACGGUCACAGUACCGGUGACAUAUCCUUCAAAUGUCUGACUUAUCAGCUGUCGAUGGUAGACUCUGUGUCUACCAUGGCCCUCACGGGUGACGGGGAAUCAGGGUUCGAUUCCGGAGAGGGAGCCUGAGAAACGGCUACCACAUCCAAGGAAGGCAGCAGGCACGCAAAUUACCCACUCCCGGCACGGGGAGGUAGUGACAAAAAAUAACGAUACGGGACUCAUCCGAGGCCCCGUAAUCGGAAUGAGAACACCCUAAAUCCUUUAACGAGGAUCUAUUGGAGGGCAAGUCUGGUGCCAGCAGCCGCGGUAAUUCCAGCUCCAAUAGCGUAUAUUAAAGUUGUUGCGGUUAAAAAGCUCGUAGUUGGUUCUGCGUGCCACGCUGUCGGUUCACCGCCUGCCGGUGCAACUGGCAUGCCGUGGCAUGUCCUGUCGGUGGCGGAUAGGCUUCGCGGCGCGCCCUAUGCGGUAAACCAGCGUGUAGGUUGCUGCGCCGCGUUGUCCUUGUACGCCGGCUCAAUCCUACCGCGGUGCUCUUUACCGAGUGUCGAGGUAGGCCGACACUGUUUACUUUGAACAAAUUAGAGUGCUUAAAGCAGGCUCUUAAAUCAGCCUGAAUAGUGGUGCAUGGAAUAAUGGAACAGGACCUUGGUUCUAUUUUGUUGGUUUUCGGAAUCCAAGGUAAUGAUCAAUAAGGACAGGCGGGGGCAUUCGUAUUGCGGCGUUAGAGGUGAAAUUCUUGGAUCGUCGCAAGACGCACUAGAGCGAAAGCAUUUGCCAAGUAUGUCUUAAUUGAUCAAGAACGAAAGUUAGAGGUUCGAAGGCGAUCAGAUACCGCCCUAGUUCUAACCAUAAACGAUGCCAGCCAGCGAUCCGCCGACGUUCCUCCGAUGACUCGGCGGGGAGCUUCCCCCGGGAAACCAAAAGCUUUUGGGUUCCGGGGGAAGUAUGGUUGCAAAGCUGAAACUUAAAGGAAUUGACGGAAGGGCACCACCAGGAGUGGAGCCUGCGGCUUAAUUUGACUCAACACGGGAAACCUCACC